GAAUCGCUCACCCAGAUUCGUAUGCUUCUUCAAGUAGGACUGGAACUUCUCUGCUUUCUGGAGAAUACCCUCAAUCUUGCCGCCCUUGUAGACACAUGCACGCCGCAAGCUGAUUCCACUCUGCUGCAGGAGCUUAUCGUCCUCUAAUGCACUUCUCAUAUGCUGCUGGAGGAACCAGAACACCACACAGCCUUCCUGGAGGGCAGAAACAGUGAAGUUGCAAGGAAUUAUGGUGGGGGCCACAGAGGAACAAGGCAAGUUCAAGAUUAGCUGGAAGGUAGGAAAUCAGAGGUAGACAGAGAAAGGCGAGCUAAAGCCCAGUGGACACAGAAUAUGCUUAUUUCUGCCCAGCUGGGCUGCAAGAGAGGACGGAACCUGAGACGACAGGGCACACGCUGGAAGGCAGAAUCUAAGGAGUGCGUCCGCCUUUUGUUACUCUGUUGAGCGACCCCGGCAAAGUCACAUGGCUAUCAAAUGCCUUCACCUCCAAAAGUCUAUGACACUCUGCAAGCAAGGUGCUAUGAUGGUGGUGCCCACGUGUUAUGUCUCCGUUUUUGGAAAGGCAACUAUGUCCAAUAAUGAGGUGAGGUGAGGUCAGAACUUUAGGGGACAGAGUGUGAU